rnacentral:rRNA from 1 species
GACGGAGGAUGCAAGUGUUAUCCGGAAUCACUGGGCGUAAAGCGUCUGUAGGUGGUCAAAUAAGUCAACUGUUAAAUCUUGAGGCUCAACCUCAAAAUCGCAGUCGAAACUAUUAGACUAGAGUAUAGUAGGGGUAAAGGGGAUUUCCAGUGGAGCGGUGAAAUGCGUAGAGAUUGGAAAGAACACCGAUGGCGAAGGCACUUUACUGGGCUAUUACUAACACUCAGAGACGAAAGCUAGGGUAGCAAAUGGGG